CCUACGGGUGGCAGCAGUGAGGAAUAUUGGUCAAUGGGCGGAAGCCUGAACCAGCCAAGUCGCGUGAGGGAAUAAGGCCCUACGGGUCGUAAACCUCUUUUGCCGGGGAGCAAGGGCGGGGACGUGUCCCGGCCCGGAGAGUACCCGGAGAAAAAGCAUCGGCUAACUCCGUGCCAGCAGCCGCGGUAAUACGGAGGAUGCGAGCGUUAUCCGGAUUUAUUGGGUUUAAAGGGUGCGUAGGCGGGUUAUCAAGUCAGCGGGAAAAUCGUGGAGCUCAACUCCAUCCAGCCGUUGAAACUGGUGAUCUUGAGUGGGCGAGAAGUAUGCGGAAUGCGUGGUGUAGCGGUGAAAUGCAUAGAUAUCACGCAGAACUCCGAUUGCGAAGGCAGCAUACCGGCGCCCGACUGACGCUGAAGCACGAAAGCGUGGGUAUCGAACAGGAUUAGAUACCCUAGUAGUC
rnacentral:rRNA from 1 species